CGAGUCCCGACCUCCGCUGGAUCCUAAGGACCACGUAGAUGCUCCCUGAACUGCUGAGUUCUUCCAGCAUCGUGUGUGUAUGUUGCUGUGAAACAUUGGAUGGCAGGAACAGACUAAAUGAUGAGCUUUGCCUGCCUUGGCUCUCCUCCAUCUUCCACACUUGGUGAACUUGAAGUUGUCUGAACUUCCUUGGCCUGGUUCAUCUUUUCCUUUGAUGCAUUCCUAGCAGCAAGUUGCAUAAGCAGUGAUGGUGCAG